ensembl:lncRNA
UGUGUAGAGUCCUGUUGUCAGUGUGUAGAGUCCUGUCAGUGUGUAGAGUCCUGUCAGUGUAGAUGUGUAGUCCUGUGAGUGUGUUGAGUCCUGUGAGUGUGUAGAGUCCUGUCAGUGUGUAGAGUCCUGUCAGUGUGUAGAGUCCUGUCAGUGUGUUGAGUCCUGUGAGUGUGUAGAGUCCUGUCAGUAGUAGAGUCAGUGUGUAGAGUCCUGUCAGUGUGUAGAGUCCUGUUGUCAGUGUGUAGAGUCCUGUCAGUGUAGAGUCCUGUCAGUGUGUAGAGUCCUGUCAGUGUUGUGUAGAGUCCUGUCAGUGUAGAGUCCUGUCAGUGUGUAGAGUCCUGUCAGUGUGUAGAGUCAGUGUGUAGGGUCCUGUGAGUGUGUAGAGUCCUGUGAGUGUGUAGAGUCCUGUCAGUGUGUAGUCCUGUGAGUGUGCAGAGUCCUGUCAGUAUGCAGAGUCCUGUCAGUGUGUAGAGUCCUGUCAG